rnacentral:rRNA from 1 species
GACGAACGCUGGCGGCGUGCUUAACACAUGCAAGUCGAGCGGUAAGGCCCCUUCGGGGGUACACGAGCGGCGAACGGGUGAGUAACACGUGGGUGACCUGCCCUCAGCUCUGGGAUAAGCCUGGGAAACUGGGUCUAAUACCGGAUAUGACUCCAUGACGCAUGUCGUGGGGUGGAAAGCCUUGUGCGGCUGGGGAUGGGCCCGCGGCCUAUCAGCUUGUUGGUGGGGUGAUGGCCUACCAAGGCGACGACGGGUAGCCGGCCUGAGAGGGCGACCGGCCACACUGGGACUGAGACACGGCCCAGACUCCUACGAGAGGCAGCAGUGGGGAAUCUUGCGCAAUGGGCGAAAGCCUGACGCAGCGACGCCGCGUGAGGGAUGACGGCCU